CAGACCUGAGCCGAUCUGCACUGAGCCGAUCUCUCAUCUGGUUAAAAUUAUAACUAAAAGAAAUAUAGUAGUUUUCUUUAUUCCAUAGUAAAAGCAAGCUUAGUCAUAAGAUCUUAGUUUUGUGUCCUUAUUCAAAAUUUAACAUUCCAUUUCAAGGAGUGGAAAAUUGAUAGAACUGGAGGUCAUCAUGUUAAGGGAAAUAAACUAGAUUAAGAAUGUACUUUCAAACCGUA
rnacentral:lncRNA from 1 species